rnacentral:rRNA from 1 species
CCACGGGAGGCAGCAGUGGGGAAUAUUGGACAAUGGGCGAAAGCCUGAUCCAGCCAUGCCGCGUGUGUGAAGAAGGCCUUCGGGUUGUAAAGCACUUUCAGUGGGGAAGAAAGCCUUGGGGCUAAUACCCUCGAGGAAGGACAUCACCCACAGAAGAAGCACCGGCUAACUCCGUGCCAGCAGCCGCGGUAAUACGGAGGGUGCGAGCGUUAAUCGGAAUUACUGGGCGUAAAGCGCGCGUAGGCGGUCUGAUAAGCCGGUUGUGAAAGCCCCGGGCUCAACCUGGGAACGGCAUCCGGAACUGUCAGGCUAGAGUGCAGGAGAGGAAGGUAGAAUUCCCGGUGUAGCGGUGAAAUGCGUAGAGAUCGGGAGGAAUACCAGUGGCGAAGGCGGCCUUCUGGACUGACACUGACGCUGAGGUGCGAAAGCGUGGGUAGCAAACAGGAUUAGAUACCCUAGUAGU